UUUUUGGUUUGGCGCGUUGAAAUCUUUAAGCGGGACACCAAAAAUUAAAACCGCGCAUUGAAAACUAAUAAUCUCAGUUCCUGUUCCUUUUAUUUUUCUGUUUCCUUUUAUUUUUCUAAAACCCCCCAAUCGAGAAUCAACAAAUAAUCCUGGUUCUCGUUCCUUUUCUUUCACCCAAACCCUAACAUCCCUCCGACUCGUCGCUACCACCUCCGAGUCAUCGCCGGUGCCGCCUCCGACUUGCUAUCGCAGCAUCUCGCCGCCGCUGCCGCCUCCAAACCCGACCCUCCUCUUCGUCCACCGCCUCGUCUUUCGUCCACCGCCGGAGCCCCUCCUCGUCUCUCGUCCACCUCUGACACACCUCUUAUUUGAAGAUUCGAGUGAUUAAUUUGAUAAUCUGAAAGAGCACUGGGAGCUCAGGGAUCAAUCUGAAGAGGGCAUCCACUCACACUGCUUCCUUUGAUAUUUUUAUGUUUAAAGGAGGUAAAAUUGUAUUUUCUUCUGCAAUUUAGCUAAUUUCUGAUUAACAUUUUCCUUUUUCAUGCAAGCAAUGACUUGCCUUAGGAGAUCGUGAUAAGAUGAGUAGUCCUCGAGAUGCUUGGUUUUUUGUAUACGACAGUGGUGAGGCAAUCCUGGAUGGUUUGCUAUAUUGCAAGCAAACAUUUUGCACCACUUGCUAGUAACACUACAACAACAAAAUAGAAAUCUCGGAUUUCGAACAUUGUCAAAAUCCAAAAUACAAAUCCAUGUCCAAACAGCCCCAAAAUCUUUCUUAUUAUCUCUGUCAGAGCACAUGAUGAUUUUCCCUAUGGUGGGAUCUUGGGUUUUUUCCUCUAACCCAAAAUCCCAUAUGCUUUUGGUAUUAUUUUCGGGUUGUUUAGAUAUUAUCCCUCGAAUCUUCAAUAAUUCCAUAUUAGUUGUCAAAUCUUUGAAUUUGCUCGUGCACACCUCAGACUUUAAGGGGUCUAAAAUUGGUCACUCAAAUCUAUCAUAUUUCUUUACUUUCCCUCUAAUGCUGUGUGUAUUUUCAGCGACGAGGUGUAUUUUCUACAGAUCGAAAAGGGAGAGAUGGAACUAAGGUUAGGAUUUAGCCCCAUUUGUUAUGUCUAAUAAAAUGGCUGAUCUGAGUCCCUAAGCGCUUGGUUGAAGAGGUCUAUGCAUUGAUGGCUCACUCAGGAAAUCUUCCACUGCUGCGCAAAGACAAAAUUGCACCAGCUUACUGUGGUAAGAUGAUUGGUCCCUUUGAAGUUUUAUUUUGAAUACGACAGGGGCGAGGCAAUUUGAACGGUUUGUGUGCAAGCAACCAACUUGCAGCCAUUUGUUAGUAUUGCCAAUAACCUUUGGACAGUUUAUGGUAGUUUUUCACAAGAGACCUGAAAAAGUUCAUGAUGGUUCUAUGAGUGUGAAGUUUAUCCUUAUUUAUUAAUGGGUUAAUUUCACUUGGCCCCCCUUUAGGAUCAUUGUUUUGAACCUCCAACCCUUGUAGUUUCAUUGUCGCAGAUAGACCCGUGUUAAUUUUUUUGACUCUUUUAUCCUUGGGGAAAUUUUGGCAGAUAUUGUCCCUGGGUGGAAUUUGUUAGUUGAGGGUAAAAAUUGUUGUGGGAUUAAUGACUUGCCAAAGGAAAUUUUGCCAGUGCUACUUAAAAAAAUGCUCAGUUUGUGGUAAUGAUUAGUCCUAAAAAAAGCUUGAAUUUUUAUGUGAAUUCCUUUAUUAGAUCCUAUCUUUUUGUGUAGCAUGUUAAUCGAUAUAGUUCAUUCUUUGAGAUGUUGAAAGUUGAGGGUAUAUUCAUUGUACAACUGAGUAAUGCUCUUCAAAUCAAGUGCUAACUCUUUAGCCUUGUCUUUAGCAGCCUUUGCAAUCUCAAAAUCAGAUUGGGCAUUACCCUGCGAUUCAACAAUGCCCUGUGCAUCUUCUAACUUUGAAGCUAUCAGUUCCAGCUCCUCUUUAAUUCUCAUCUGGAAACGCAGAACAGCAAACUUUGCCUCCAGCACAUCCAAUAACUGAUCAUCGAUAGUAUUUCUUGCUGAACUGACUAGAAUUUCACUGCUAUUUGCACUUUCAGCCUGCAGGACAACAUUGCUGAGAUAUUGGAGCCUGAAUACAGAUAAAGUGUAAUUGUUACCAUACAUUUUCAAGAUAAACGAGGAUGGUUGGUGAGACUACAAAGACAGGUCAGCGUAAAAGGAAGAACAGUAUUAUGGUGGAGAAUUAUGCGAGGGAUGUGAAUGCCAUGGAAAGCCUUACGCAAGUCAGUCAAGAAGCUCCCCAAGAUGGACCAGUUCCAAAUA